rnacentral:rRNA from 1 species
CCUACGGGUGGCUGCAGUGGGGGAUAUUGGACAAUGGGGGCAACCCUGACCCAGCAACGCCGCGUGAAGGAAGAAGGAUUUCGGGUUGUAAAGUUCUUUUAUCAGGGACGAAGCCAAUGACGGUACCUGACCAAUAAGCCACGGCUAACUACGUGCCAGCAGCCGCGGUAAUACGUAGGUGGCAAGCGUUAUCCGGAUUUACUGGGUGUAAAGGGAGGGUAGACGGGGGAGCAAGUCUGAUGUGAAAGCCACGGGCGCAACCUGUGGACUGCUUUGGAAACUGUAUUGCUGGAGUGCCGGAGAGGCAAGCGGAAGUCCGUGUGUAGCGGUGAAAUGCGUAGAUAUACGGAGGAACACCAGUGGCGAAGGCGGAUUGCUGGACUGUAACUGACGCUGAGGCGCGAAAGCGUGGGGAGCAAACAGGAUUAGAUACCCUUGUAGUC